AAAGAGUUAAUAUUUUAAAAUAGUUAUUGUCAUAAAUAUAUUAUAAAUCAAAUAUUAGUAAUGAAAUGUUCAUCGUUUUUAUAUAUCUAAUUUCUUUUGAAUUAUAUUCAAUGUAGUUUUAAUUAUUAAUUUAAUUAAAAAUGAAAUUAUUAGGCAUGAGCUUAUUAAUUAUUUUAAGAUAAACUAAAUUAUUAUAAUUAUAAUAAGCUUAAUAUUAGCUAUUUUAAGAGGAUGUUGUAAUUAAUAUUUUUAAAAAAAGUAAUUUAUAUAAAUAUAUCUAUGAAAUGUAAAAGGAAAUAUUAUUUAAUUUUUAAAUUAUAAAUAUAAUGAUUAUAUUAGUAUAAAAUGUGAUGUGUAAAAUAGAAAUAAAUUCAUAAAAAAUUUUAACUUGACUUGAUAUUUUAAAUGAAUUCGGCAAAGCAUUUUUCCGGCUGUUUAACAAAAACAUUUUUGUCUGGUAUUAUUGACAAUAUAACCUGCCCACUGACAUAUAUUAGUUGAAUGGCCGCGGUAUUUUGACCGUGCGAAGGUAGCAUAAUCAGUUGUCUUUUAAUUGAAGGCUGGAAUGAAAGGUUGCACGAGAAAAAAUCUGUAUUAAUUAUAAGUUUUGAAUUUUACUUUUAAGUGAAAAGGCUUAAAUAUUUUAAAGGGACGAUAAGACCCUAUAAAGCUUUACAAUUUAAUUUUAUUAAAUGAUUUUCAGUUUAAAGUAAAUUAAAAUAAUUUUGUUUGAUUGGGGUGAUUAUUAUAUAUCAAAUGUAAAUAACUGUAAAUUGAAUAAAUAGUGAUAAUUAGUCUAUUGAUCCUUUUUUAAAGAUUAAAAGAUAAAGUUACUUUAGGGAUAACAGCGUAAUUUUUUCAGAGAGUUCUUAUCGAAGAAAGUAGUUGCGACCUCGAUGUUGAAUUAAAAUUUCUAUUAAAUGUAGCAGUUUAAGUAGUUGGUCUGUUCGACCAUUAAAGUUUUACAUGAUUUGAGUUCAGACCGGCGUAAGCCAGGUUGGUUUCUAUCUUUUAAUUAAUUAUUUUCUCUUUUUAGUACGAAAGGAUUAAAAGAGAUAGACAUUCUAUUGUGUAGAUGAAUAAU
rnacentral:rRNA from 1 species